GAUGAACGCUGGCGGCGUGCCUAAUACAUGCAAGUCGAGCGAACAGACGAGGAGCUUUCUCCUCUGACGUUAGCGGCGGACGGGUGAGUAACACGUGGAUACCCUCCCUAUAAGACUGGGAUAACUUCGUGAAACCGGUGCUAAUACCGGAUAAUAUAUUGCACCGCAUGGUUCAAUAGUGAACGACGGUUUUGCUUUCACUUAUAGACUGAUCCCCGCCGCAUUAGCUAGUUGGUAAGGUAACGGCUUACCAAGGCAACGAUGCGUAGCCGACCUGAGAGGGUGAUCGGCCACACUGGAACUGAGACACGGUCCAGACUCCUACGGGAGGCAGCAGUAGGGAAUCGUCCGCAAUGGGCGAAAGCGUGACGGAGCAAAGCCGCGUGAGUGAUGAAGGUCUUCGGAUCGUAAAACUCUGUUAUUAGGGAAGAACAAAUGUGUAAGUAACUAUGCACGUCUUGACGGUACCUAAUCAGAAAGCCACGGCUAACUACGUG
rnacentral:rRNA from 1 species